rnacentral:tRNA from 1 species
GCUGGGGUGGCGGAAUUGGCAUACGCGCACGUUUGAGGGGCGUGUCCUUAGUCGGAUGCGGGUUCGAGUCCCGCCCUCAGCA